UCAUUUUUUUCUUAACACAGGGAAUACAUUUAUUUCCAAGAAAGUUGACAACAAGAAGAAAAAGAAACUUAAGAAGGUGGAAGAUAAGAUGCUUGGAUGGGGUGGUUGUGAUGAUGCAAAGUUGUCUAUUCCAGCUACUGUUGUUCUUCGUUAUAUGUUCAUGCCUGCUGAAAUGAGGGCCGAUGAAAAUUUACGUUAAGAACUAGAGGCUGACAUACAGGAAGAAUGUUCAAAGCUUGGUCCACUGAACUCAGUUAAGGCUAUAUAGAUCAUCAGAAUACACCAACCAACGGAUAUCAUUUGAUAUUGAACCACAAGGCUAGCAUCUUGGUAUAGGUGGUCAGGUAGCAUCUCAACUUUCAUAUGGCCAAGUACUUUCAGAUUUGGGUUAUAAUUAAUUGAAGAAAUUACACUUUUUAAUUGUAAUUUUAUUCCACCAUACCAUCAUAUUCUCAAGUUGCUUUUGGUUGACAUUUUUUUAGCAUGCCUAUUCCCAAUUUCCCACAAUCUAUCGCCAAAUGAAUCUUAGAAGUAAUCUGAAAUAUAUGCAAACCCAUAGUGCACCCAUCCAAAUUUCAAAUAGUGCAAAGCCUCUUCACAUUAAUACUUUUGUGUGUUGCAAAAUGAUUUAAUUAAAUAUCUAAAGUGGUUUAAAUAUAAUUUUAUAUUAGGUUAAUUUCUUAUCGUGACUGCUGCAAGGCAUAGGCCGAAACACAAUUUUAGAUGAUAGUUGAAACCAAAUGAGAUGAUUGCAAGUUUCCCUAAGCAAAACAAUCCUUCAUUUUUUCUUCUAUUAAUUUAAUGUUUUGGUUUCAGGAUGGUUCUAUUCAUAUAUAUGAUCUAAAAACUGGGCAAUGGGUAUCAAGCUUUCAAGCUGCAUUAGAUAUACUCUGGUCCACUAGAAUGUGGAAAAAUUCAUAAUAGAGAUGACUUGCGCUUUCCUUUAUAACUUAUUUUUGUAUGUGUGACACCUCAAAUACUGUCAAUGGCUUCUCCUUUCAUCCAUUUUUUCCAAUGGCUGCCUCUUCAUCAGGGCAGUGUAGGUUUGUUGUUCCUGGUGAUGGCGAGGAGGAUUUGCAUUUGGGUGGUAAAAUUUUUAUUCUUACUAGUUUUUUUCCCUUUAGUCUUGGCAGUUUUGUUCAUGAUAUGAUACUUGUGUCUUCUCUCUUGGAGGAGAGCAAGUUCAUACUUUUUCCUGGUCAUGUUCUAUUAAUUCAGUAAUUUUCUUGAUUCUGAAUGCAUCAUAAUAUAUGUGAACAUGUUGAGUUUUGACACUUGAAUUCAAGUAUUCAACUUUUCAUGCGUGUCAUCGGAAGUUGAGUUCUUGUUUAUUUUUGCUUUAAAAGCUCCAGUUGGAACUUUAAUCGGUUUAGGCAAUAAAAAUAGAUCAUUUUGAUUUCUUGAUAGACACAACACCAUGCUAUAUCUACUUUCCUUUCUAAAUGGCUGGACUUAAGAUGAUGCUUGCAUUCAUGUAGGCAUUGUUGGAUGAUAUUUUAUAUUGGAGAAGAUGUUUUCAACAGCAUGACAUGGUUAAAUUUUAAUUUUUCUUGAGUUAUGUUGAUAAAGAGUGAAUUUAUAAUAAUUUACAUAAGACCAAUAAUUUACAAGAGUGAAUUUAUCAAUUUUUCAACUGCCAAUUAUUGUUGGAUUAUGGACUAUGCUCAUUUGUCCUUGAUUGGUCCACGGUUGCAGGGUUUCUUGGCAGUCCUUUAGCCACACCAGGAUUUGCUAUCAUUAACAUCUUAGUAGGCUUCUUCUUGUUUGUUUAUGUAAUUAAUCCCAUUGCUUAUUGGUCUAAUUGGUAUGAAGCCAAGAUAUUCCCAAUCAUUUCUUCCCAUACUUUUGACUCAACUGGCCAUCCCUUCAACAUUUCCAGGUUGUUAUGGAGGGUUAUCCUGUUUUCUGAUCUAGUGCAUUUUUGGUUUUCAGGUUGUACAGUUAUUUUAGUUAAUGCUAUGCUCUCAGACUACAGAAUUUGUUUGCUUGCUGUUUUUUUAUUUUGCUGGUUUGUUUUCUGAUUAUUGUCUUGAAUAAUGAUUAUUCACAAUGAAGAUCAUUUUUCAGUGUUCAAAUUUUAAAAAAAAAUAUCAAGUGUAUGGUUGCUUAGUACUUUUUUCUAAUACUAAGAGUCUAAGACCUCUACUUUUUGUCUUCAGUACACUCCUGCAAUAGAUAUUUGGAGCAUAGGAUGUAUUUGCUGAAAUGCUUACAGGAAAACCACUGUUUCGUUGGGAAAAUGUGAUACACCAAUUGGAUCUCAUGACUCAUUUGCUUGGCACACCACCCUCCCCAACUGAAUCCACUG